GGGCGAGUGGCGGAAUGGGCAGACGCGCUGGCUUCAGGUGCCAGUGUCCCUUCGGGACGUGGGGGGGUUCAAGUCCCCCUUCGCCCACCG
rnacentral:tRNA from 1 species